GUUAAUUGGUGAUCGCUGCUCUUGUAAAUAUUGAAGCGUCAUUGUUGGUGAGUGUGAGCUGUGCGUGUGAUUGUCUUAGCACGGAGUGAAUAAGAUCCAUAUGCCAUUGAUUAGACGCCAAACAUACUGCGGGAAAAUGAACUUCUUAAGUUCUCGUGCGAAUGCAACUGGUUUGUUUGGAAACAAAAACAAUGAUAUCGUGUCGGGAUUCAGUUA